rnacentral:rRNA from 1 species
UACGGGGGGGGCAAGCGUUGUUCGGAAUUACUGGGCGUAAAGGGCGCGUAGGCGGCCAUCUCAGUCAGACGUGAAAUCCCUCGGCUCAACCGAGGAACUGCGUCUGAUACUGGAAGGCUUGAAUCCGGGAGAGGGAUGUGGAAUUCCAGGUGUAGCGGUGAAAUGCGUAGAUAUCUGGAGGAACACCGGUGGCGAAGGCGGCAUCCUGGACCGGUAUUGACGCUGAGGCGCGAAAGCUAGGGGAGCAAACGGG